rnacentral:sRNA from 1 species
GCUGGGUGUGAUGGCACAUGCCACUAAUCCCUGCUAAAGCUAGUGGAUUGCUUGAGUUUAGGAGUUCUGAGCUGUAGUAAGGCUAAAACUGAUUGAAAUAUCUACACUAAGUCUGGCAUUAACAUGGUGAGCCCAUGAGGCAGGAAGGCUACCAGGCUGCCUAAGGAGUGACAAACUGACCCAGGUUAGAAAAAUGAAGCAGGUGAAAGCUUCUGUGCUGAUCAGUAGUGGAAUCAAGGUCAUGAUUCCAGUGCUGAUAUUGGCCAUUGGUCAGCCAAGAACUU